CACAGAUGAAUCUAUUGCCUGGGAAACUGGAGCACCCCACCUGCGUCCUGCCCUGCCCUGCCCUCAGCAGUGACACACACUUGGACUCGUCUGGCUUUGAUGCAGAAAAGGUUAUGAGAGUUAAACAAAGCACCACUCCUUCCAAGAGCUCCAAAUGCCAGCAUGGCUGGAAGAAGCUGAUGGAGGGAGGAGGAUGGAAGGGGCAGAGGAGGGGGAAGUUUUCAGCCAGAACCCAGGAGCCAGAGUUGUUCCUCAGGAGCUCAGGAAACAGGGUGAGGGAAACACUGCUUGAUGAAUGGAACAGCACCCAGGAGGUGAGGAGUGGUGGAAUUGCCACAGAUUACCAAGAUAAUCCUGUGACCUGCCUGCCCAACACACAGAGGUUUUAGUGGCAGCUCUUCAGAGAGCAUGCCACUACUAGUGGAAUAGUUUUUCACAGCUUGGAAUCAUGAUCACCACCACCAAAAAGUAAAAGGCUAUGAGACUAAAAGGAGUGAGAAAAUUCUUCCUGAGUGAGCUGAGGAAACAGUUGUACCAAGCCUGACACCCCUUUGCUGGGACAGUUGUAAGAAGCAUCCUCCAUCAUGUCCAGACAGAGUUUCCUGUCUCGAGAACAAAUUGUCCAGCACUAGUUCUCUGGGAAACACCAGGGAAAAAAGUGAAACACCAAAUUGAUUCCAAGGAUGAUUUUCUUCCAUGAAAUGAAGAUAAAUAAUUCUGCUGCUUUAUGACUGGUGGUUUUACUGUGAGGUAUUGCACAACAGGAAUAAAUAAUGUUCAAGUAUGACUGCAUCCAGUUUUAUCUGCCUUUGUUUUCCUUAGCUCAUUUUGUCUCAGAGAAGGUUGGUUAUCAAGAACAAAAGACUUUUAGGUCUGCAGACUACGUGCACAUGAACCAUUCUCACCUGCCUGCUGUAACAGGCAUGUGGAAUACAUAUUGAACUCAUUCUUCAUAGUGUUUUGUCUCAUAACAUUUGGAAUUUAAGUAAGCUUUGUACCUUAAUAAAUAAAUAUUGAGCUAAUUGCAUUAAUAAACACAAAACAAAAGGCAGAAAAUACCCUUCCUAUCCUGCAUGUGGACAGCCUCAGGUCCCAGUAUGGGCUGGAGGAUGACCAUGGGCAGGGCCCAUGGGGUUAAUCAGAGCAGCUGGACAUUCUGUGCACCAGGGCCCAGAAGCCCCAGCCUGGGCUGCAGAGGCCCAUGUCUCCCAUCUCUCUGCCUGGUUGAUCUGCCCCUUCUUCCAUGUUUUUAGCAGGGUUUGCCAUGCACUUUUUCUAUCCAGGUGCUCUCUGCCUUAGUGCCAUCCCAAGAGACAGGAGAGACUUGACCUCCACAAAACUGCUGCCUGC
rnacentral:lncRNA from 1 species